rnacentral:rRNA from 1 species
UACAGAGGGGGCAAGCGUUGUUCGGAAUUACUGGGCGUAAAGGGCGCGUAGGCGGCCUGCUAAGUCGAACGUGAAAUCCCCGGGCUCAACCCGGGAACUGCGUCCGAUACUGGCAGGCUUGAAUCCGGGAGAGGGAUGUGGAAUUCCAGGUGUAGCGGUGAAAUGCGUAGAUAUCUGGAGGAACACCGGUGGCGAAGGCGGCAUCCUGGACCGGUAUUGACACUGAGGCGCGAAAGCCAGGGGAGCAAACGGG